ACGGCUCAGUAACACGUCGGUAACCUACCCUCGGGAGGGGGAUAACCCCGGGAAACUGGGGCUAAUUCCCCAUAGGCCUGAGGUACUGGAAGGUCCUCAGGCCGAAAGGGACUUAUGUCCGCCCGAGGAUGGGCCGGCGGCCGAUUAGGUAGUUGGUGGGGUAAUGGCCCACCAAGCCGAAGAUCGGUACGGGCUGUGAGAGCAGGAGCCCGGAGAUGGACACUGAGACACGGGUCCAGGCCCUACGGGGCGCAGCAGGCGCGAAACCUCCGCAAUGCGGGAAACCGCGACGGGGGGACCCCGAGUGCCGUGGCAACGCCACGGCUUUUCCGGAGUGUAAAAAGCUCCGGGAAUAAGGGCUGGGCAAGGCCGGUGGCAGCCGCCGCGGUAAUACCGGCGGCCCGAGUGGUGGCCGCUAUUAUUGGGCCUAAAGCGUCCGUAGCCGGGCCCGUAAGUCCCUGGCGAAAUCCCACGGCUCAACCGUGGGGCUUGCUGGGGAUACUGCGGGUCUUGGGACCGGGAGAGGCGGGGGGUACCCCUGGGGUAGGGGUGAAAUCCUAUAAUCCCAGGGGGACCGCCAGUGGCGAAGGCGCCCCGCUGGAACGGGUCCGACGGUGAGGGACGAAGGCCAGGGGAGCAAACCGGAUUAGAUACCCGGGUAGUCCUGGCUGUAAAGGAUGCGGGCUAGGUGUCGGGUGAGCCUCGAGCUUGCCCGGUGCCGUAGGGAAGCCGUUAAGCCCGCCGCCUGGGGAGUACGGCCGCAAGGCUGAAACUUAAAGGAAUUGGCGGGGGAG
rnacentral:rRNA from 1 species